UACGGGGGGAGCAAGCGUUGUUCGGAAUUACUGGGCGUAAAGGGCUCGUAGGCGGCCAACUAAGUCCGACGUGAAAUCCCAAGGCUUAACCUUGGAACUGCGUCGGAUACUGGAUGGCUUGAAUUCGGGAGAGGGAUGCAGAAUUCCAGGUGUAGCGGUGAAAUGCGUAGAUAUCGGGAGGAACACCAGUGGCGAAGGCGACUACCUGGCCUGUUCUUGACGCUGAGGCGCGAAAGCUAGGGGAGCAAACGGG
rnacentral:rRNA from 1 species